UUCCACCCAUUCUGGGGCUCCUUUCAACCCACUUUUCCCCACCACUCUCCCUUUUGGCUUGUUUUUUCCACCCUACAUCUUAUUUUGGGACUCCUUUUUGACCGUUUUUUUCCCCGCAUCCCAUUUUGGGGCUCCUUUGCACCCAUUUUUCCCUACUGCUCUCCUUUAUGACCCAUUUUCCCACCCCACAUCCCAUUCUGGGUCUCCUUUUCACCCAUUUUCCCCCACACUCCUUUUUGACCCAUUUUUUCCCCCGCAUCCCAUUCUGGGUCUCCUUUCUACCCAUUUUUCCCUACUGCUCUCCUUUUUGACCCAUUUUCCCACCUCACAUCCCAUUUUGGGGUUCCUUUUGACCCAUUCUGGGGCUCCUUCUGACCCAUUUUCCCCCACACGCUCCGUUUUGACCCAUUUUUUUCUUCCACAGCCCAUUUUGGGGCUCCUUUUCACCGAUUUUGAGGCUCCUUUUAACCCAUUUCCCCCCCACACACUUCUUUUUGACCCGUUUUUCCCACCGCACAUCUGAUUUUGGGUCUCCUUUUGACUCAUUUUUUCCCCACACACUCCUUUUUGACCAAUUUUCCCACCCCACAUCCCAUUUUGGGGCUCCUUUUGGCCAAUUCUGGGUCUCCUUUCCACCCAUUUUCCCCCCACACACUCCUUUUUGACCCAAUUUUUCCCCCCCACAUCCCAUUUUGGGGCUCCUUUUGACCUGUUUUUCCCACACACACUCCUUUUUGACCCAUUUUUCCCACCUCACAUCCCAUUUUGGGGCUCCUUUCCACCCAUUCUGGGGCUCCUUUCAACCCACUUUUCCCCACCACUCUCCCUUUUGGCUUGUUUUUUCCCCCCUCCACUCAUUUUGGGGCCCCUUUUCACCCAUUUUCCCCCACCACUCUCCUUUUUGACCCAAUUUUUCCCCCCACAUCCCAUUUUGUGUCUCCUUUCUACCCAUUUUUCCCCCCACAACCUCCUUUUUGACCUGAUUUUUUCCCCCACAUCCCUUUUUGGGGCUCCUUUUGACCCAUUCUGAGGCUCCUUUCCACCCAUUUCCCCCCCCCACUCUCCAUUUUGACCCAUUUUUCCCACCUCACAUCCCAUUUUGGGGCUCCUUUUGACCCACUUUCCCCCCACACACUACUUUUUGACCCAGUUUUUCCCCACACAUCCCAUUUUGGGGCUCCUUUCCACCCAUUUUGGGGCCCCUUUUGACCCACUUUUCCCCACCACUCUCCUUUUUGACCCAUUUUUCCCACUGCACGUCCCAUUCUGGGGCUCCUUUCCAUCCAUUUUUCCCCCCACACACUACUUUUUGACCCAAUUUUUCCCCCCACA
rnacentral:lncRNA from 1 species